rnacentral:lncRNA from 1 species
AAUUGUUUCAUCUAAAAGAUUAUUUCAGCAAUUCAUGGUAGAUGGAUAUACAAUGAUGGAAUCUUCUCGAUUAAGCUUUAUUAGACUUCAUAAGAAACAAUUGAGAGCACACUUUUAUAAAAGGUUAGAAGAUGUUGUUUUGCAUGGAGACAUAGAACCUUCUUCUCAAGGACAAAGAGAUAUAUUCUCUUCCAGCUUCACAAGGGGUGCACGUUACAUGUUGCAAAAUUAUCAAGAUGCCAUGGCAAUUUGCAAAUGGGCAGGGUACAUUAAUCUCUUCAUUACAUUUACUUGCAAUCCAAAAUGUCCUGAAAUUACUAGAUUUGUUGAGAGUAGGAGACUAUCUCUAGAAGAUCUCCUGACAUUUUAACAAGGAUUUUCAAAGUUAAAUUUGAUCGCAUGAUAAAGGACCUGCGAGACAAUAAAAUUUUUGGAGAAGUAAAAGCAGGUACAAUUUUUAUAUUCUUUAACAUUUUUUACAUUAAUAUUUAACUUAUUAUAAGUUAAUAUUAAAAAUAUUAUAUACACAUACUUACUUAUCUAAUAAAUCAUUUUUUGCAGUAAUUUAUACAGUUGAAUUCCAAAAGCGGGGUUUUCCUCAUGCACACAUCUUGAUUUUUCUCCGUAAUAAAUACCCAAAUGUUGCAGAUAUUGAUGGAAUAAUUUCAGCAGAAUUACCUGAUAAAAAUGUUGAUCCUCAAUAUUAUAAUGUUGUUUCAAAUUUUAUGAUGCAUGGCCCGUGUGGUUCUGCUAGAAAAUAUUCUCCUUGCAUAUAUAAAGGAAAAUGUACAAAGCACUUUCCCAAAAAAUUUGUGCCAUCAACCACAGUUGAUGAAGAUGGGUAUCCUAUUUAUAGAAGAAGGGAG